GAUGAACGCUGGCGGCGUGCCUAAUACAUGCAAGUCGAGCGAAUGGAUUAAGAGCUUGCUCUUAUGAAGUUAGCGGCGGACGGGUGAGUAACACGUGGGUAACCUGCCCAUAAGACUGGGAUAACUCCGGGAAACCGGGGCUAAUACCGGAUAACAUUUUGAACCGCAUGGUUCGAAAUUGAAAGGCGGCUUCGGCUGUCACUUAGGGAUGGAUCCGCGUCGAAUUAGCUAGUUGGUGAGGUAACGGCUCACCAAGGCAACGAUGCGUAGCCGACCGGAGAGGGUGAUCGGCCACACUGGGACAGAGACACGGCCGAGACGCCUACGGGAGGCAGGGGUAGGGAAUCUUCCGCAAUGGACGAAAGUCUGACGGAGCAAAGCCGCGUGAGUGAUGAAGGCUUUCGGGUCGUAAAACUCUGUUGUUAGGGAAGAACAAGUGCUAGUUGAAUAAGCUGGCACCUUGACGGUACCUAACCAGAAAGCCACGGCUAACUACGUGCCAGCCGCCGCGGUAA
rnacentral:rRNA from 1 species